rnacentral:rRNA from 1 species
CCCUUAGAUGUUCUGGGCUGCACGCGCGCUACACUGAUGCGCUCAACGAGUUUUGACCUUGCCCGGCAGGGUUGGGUAAUCUUUUUAAAACGCAUCGUGAUGGGGAUAGAUUAUUGCAAUUAUUAAUCUUCAACGAGGAAUUCCUAGUAAGCGCGAGUCAUCAGCUCGUGCUGAUUACGCCCCUGCCCUUUGUACACACCGCCCGUCGCUCCUACCGAUUGAGUGAUCCGGUGAGUAAUUCGGACUGGAGCAGUGUUCAGUUCCUGAACGUUGCCUCGGAAAGUUUAGCAAACCUUAUCGCUUAGAGGAAGGAGAAGUCGUAACA